UAAUACGUAGGGUGCAAGCGUUGUCCGGAAUUAUUGGGCGUAAAGAGCUCGUAGGCGGUCUGUCGCGUCGGAUGUGAAAACCCGGGGCUUAACCCCGGGCCUGCAUUCGAUACGGGCAGACUCGAGUGUGGUAGGGGAGACUGGAACUCCUGGUGUAGCGGUGAAAUGCGCAGAUAUCAGGAAGAACACCGGUGGCGAAGGCGGGUCUCUGGGCCACUACUGACGCUGAGGAGCGAAAGCGUGGGGAGCGAACAGGAUUAGAUACCCUGGUAGUCCACGCCGUAAACGUUGGGCGCUAGGUGUGGGGGACUUUCCACGUCCUCCGUGCCGCAGCUAACGCAUUAAGCGCCCCGCCUGGGGAGUACGGCCGCAAGGCUA
rnacentral:rRNA from 1 species